rnacentral:misc_RNA from 1 species
UCUCCGAUGGUGAACCAGCGGAGGGAUCAUUACAGAGUUGCAAAACUCCCAAACCAUUGUGAACGUUACCUAUCCCGUUGCUUCGGCGGGCGGCCCGGGCCCCGCGCCCGGCGCCCCCCGGCCCCCCGUGGGCGCCCGCCGGAGGUAAACCAAACCCUUGAAUUGCAUGGCCUCUCUGAGUCUUCUGUACUGAAUAAGUCAAAACUUACAACAACGGAUCUCUUGGUUCUG